GGAUGAACGCUGGCGGCAUGCCUUACACAUGCAAGUCGAACGGCAGCGCGGGGGCAACCCUGGCGGCGAGCGGCGAACGGGUGAGUAAUGCAUCGGAACGUGUCCUCUUGUGGGGAUAACCAGUCGAAAGACUGGCUAAUACCGCAUGAGCUCGUAAGAGGAAAGCAGGGGACCCGCAAGGGCCUUGCGCGAGAGGAGCGGCCGAUGCCCGAUUAGCUAGNGGUGGGGUAAAGCCUACCAAGGCGACGAUCGGUAGCUGGUCUGAGAGGACGACCAGCCACACUGGGACUGAGACACGGCCCAGACUCCUACGGGAGGCAGCAGUGGGGAAUUUUGGACAAUGGGGGCAACCCUGAUCCAGCCAUGCCGCGUGUGUGAAGAAGGGCC
rnacentral:rRNA from 1 species